UGACGGUACCCUACUAGAAAGGAGCCGCUAACUUCGUGCCAGAAGCGUCGGUAAUACGGGGGCUCCAAGCGUUAUCCGGUGUUAUUGGGCGUAAAGAGUCGUGUAGGUGGUUGGGUAAGUUAUCUUUCAAAUAUCUUUGCUUAACAAAGAGGAGGGGGAUAAUACUGCUCGACUAGAAUUUUCUCAAGGGAGAUCGGAACUGAGGGAGGAGUAGUGAAAUGCGUUGAUACCCUCGGGAACACCAGUGGCGUAGGCGGAUCUCUGGGAGAAGAUUGACACUGAGACACGAAAGCUAGGGGAGCGAAGCAGAUUAGAGACCUGCGUAGUCCUAGCCGUAAACGCAUGCUUGCUAGCUGCAUGAAUCUACCUUCGGGUGGUAUCGUGUGGCGAAGGUAACCCGUUAAGCAAGCCGCCUGGAAAGUACGGCCGCAAGGCUGAAAUUCAAAGGAAUUGGCGGGGAGGCACUCAACCAGUGGAACAUGUGGUUUAAUUCGAGACUAACCGAAGAACCUCACCAGGGUUUGACAUGUAGCUGCACGUCUUAAGAAAUUAAGACUCUCUUGAAGGUGCUACACAGGUGCUGCAUGGCUGUCGUCAGCUCGUUCCGUGAGGAGUGCCCUUAAGUGGGACAACGAGCGCAACCCCUAUUACAUGUUAGAAAUGUCAUGUAAGACUGCCUUGCCAUUUGGCGGGGAGGACGGAGGGGCAGACGUCAAGUCCGCAUGGUCCUUAUGCCCUGGGCUACACACAUGUUACAAUGAGUACGGCAAUGAGUCUGUCGCGAGCACGUAAGUGUAAGCUAAUCUCUUAAAUGUACUCUCAGUGGGGAUUGAGGUCUGCAACUCGACCUCAUGAACACGGAAUUGGUAGUAAUCGCGGGUCAGCUAUACCGCGGUGAAUACGUUCUUGCCUCUUGCACACACCGCCCGUCAAACCAGCAAAGUCGAUUGUAUCCGAACCU
rnacentral:rRNA from 1 species